AUUGUAAGGUGGCUGAAUUAUAGGCGGUGGGUUGUAAUUCCAUUUAUGGGUUAGUCCCUCUUUACA
rnacentral:tRNA from 1 species